CCUGCAUGAUGAACAAAAAAAAGAAUUCUGCAAUACAGACAAUCUCCGCUCCAAGUGAGCUGUGAGAUUGCAUGUCGACAUUCUACACUUGAUCUGAUU
rfam:Aspergillus glaucus CBS 516.65 unplaced genomic scaffold ASPGLscaffold_12, whole genome shotgun sequence.